rnacentral:rRNA from 1 species
GUGGGGAAUCUUGCGCAAUGGGCGAAAGCCUGACGCAGCCAUGCCGCGUGAAUGAUGAAGGUCUUAGGAUUGUAAAAUUCUUUCACCGGGGACGAUAAUGACGGUACCCGGAGAAGAAGCUCCGGCUAACUUCGUGCCAGCAGCCGCGGUAAUACGAAGGGGGCUAGCGUUGCUCGGAAUUACUGGGCGUAAAGGGCGCGUAGGCGGACAGCUUAGUCAGAGGUGAAAGCCCAGGGCUCAACCUUGGAAUUGCCUUUGAUACUGGCUGUCUUGAGUUUGGGAGAGGUGAGUGGAACUCCGAGUGUAGAGGUGAAAUUCGUAGAUAUUCGGAAGAACACCAGUGGCGAAGGCGACUCACUGGCCCAGUACUGACGCUGAGGCGCGAAAGCGUGGGAAGCAAACAGGAUUAGAUACCCCGGUAGUCC